rnacentral:rRNA from 1 species
GACAGAGGGUGCAAACGUUGCUCGGAAUUACUGGGCGUAAAGCGCGUGUAGGCGGGAAGAUAAGUCGGGUGUGAAAUCCCUGGGCUCAACCUAGGAACUGCAUCCGAAACUGCCUUUCUGGAGUGAUGGAGAGGAAAGCGGAAUUCCCGGUGUAGAGGUGAAAUUCGUAGAUAUCGGGAGGAACACCAGUGGCGAAGGCGGCUUUCUGGCCAUCAACUGACGCUGAGACGCGAAAGCGUGGGGAGCAAACAGGAUUAGAAACCCCCGUAGUCC